UUAGCUUCGCCCUCCACCUCCUCCUCACUUCUCGUCGGCUCUGGGGCUUCCCUUUCAGUUCUCGCGUCUCUUCUUCCCCCGGCGGUGAGUUCUCGCGCGACUUGGCUGGGGCUGAGGCUUCGGGGGGCUGCUGUUAAGAUGGCGGCGGCGGGAGGCAGCGGGGGACGGCACUGACACCCCUCUCCGUCGCCUGGCCCCAGCAGGCCCUAAAAUAGUCUGAUGUAAGUGGAUUAGUGUCACUGAGGAACCAGGAGGUGUUACCCUUGGCUGGCUUGGGUGAGGCAAAGGUGCCCGAGCAGUGACUUGGAUAACAGACAGGCCAAGUAUGGAUUGGCUGUGAUUCCAGG